rnacentral:lncRNA from 1 species
CUUCAAGUGAGUUCUGCUUCCAUAAGUUCAAAGCAUAAAUCUAUAAAUAAAAGGGCAGGAUUUCCUCCAAUAAGGACAAACUCUUGGACAUGAUGUAAUAGGUUAUUAUAUAGAAUGGUACCCCCAAAUGCAAUGGGGUAAUAUAACUUUAAGACCAACGUGAGAGAAGUUUUGUUGAAGCUCAGUUCAAGAACAAUAGAGCUCAUGUUUAGUGACCUCCUGGCGACACUGGUACUUUGAAGAAGAGCUGAAGAAUCAAAAGUUGUAAUCUAGGAAAGUGAAGAAGGAACUUUUAUACAGAAACACAGAGAAGGAUUUUCAAUGGGGCCAACUGAAAGACUGAGAGGACACAGGACUCAUUCAAGCAAGUGAAGCAAAACAUCAGGUUGACAGCUCAGCAGGCUGAGAACACUAAGACCUGGACUUGAGGAUGCGAGGAUGCCAUGGUCGAAUGUGAACACAAGUCCCUCUGGACAUCGGACCACAUGUCUGGGUGGGGAUGGUGGCUGGAGUGCUGUGGCUGCCAGGGAAAGGACCGUCAUGGAAGGGCUAUGUGAGUGAGCCAGAGCUAAAACCCGGAGAAGUGGAAUCUGCACAGGGCAACUCUUAUGUGCGCUGGGCAUGCUCAGAAGCAGCGGGCUGGUUUGGGUCCGAAGUCGGAGGUAGGCUUCUUCAGCGAGGCGCUAGAGCAGGAGUGCCCGGGAAGCCUUGCAGUGCGUUAGAGAAGAUCCCACUUUUCCCAAGUAGGCGUGGCCCACGUUCCUCCAGAGACUGAGAGGUGAGUACGAUCUCUUGGCAGUAACCCCCAACCCCCAGCCACAUACAAGCAGCCUCU